rnacentral:rRNA from 1 species
GAUGAACGCUGGCGGCGUGCUUAACACAUGCAAGUCGAACGAUGAAGCCCAGCUUGCUGGGUGGAUUAGUGGCGAACGGGUGAGUAACACGUGAGUAACCUGCCCUUAACUCUGGGAUAAGCCUGGGAAACUGGGUCUAAUACCGGAUAGGAGCGCCUACCGCAUGGUGGGUGUUGGAAAGAUUUAUCGGUUUUGGAUGGACUCGCGGCCUAUCAGCUUGUUGGUGAGGUAAUGGCUCACCAAGGCGACGACGGGUAGCCGGCCUGAGAGGGUGACCGGCCACACUGGGACUGAGACACGGCCCAGACUCCUACGGGAGGCAGCAGUGGGGAAUAUUGCACAAUGGGCGAAAGCCUGAUGCAGCGGCGCCGCGUGAGGGAUGACGGCCUUCGGGUUGUAAACCUCUUUCAGUAGGGAAGAAGCGAAAGUGACGGUACCUGCAGAAGAAGCACCGGCUAACUACGUG